rnacentral:misc_RNA from 1 species
GAUGAAGAACGUAGCGAAAUGCGAUACGUAGUGUGAAUUGCAGAAUUCAGUGAAUCAUCGAAUCUUUGAACGCACCUUGCGCCCUUUGGCUAUUCUGAAGGGCAUGCCUGUUUGAGUAUCGUGAACACCUCAACUCUCAUGGUCUGCCAUGAUGAGCUUGGACUUUGGGGGUCUUGCUGGCCUACUGUCAGCUCCUCUCAAAUGAAUCAGCUUACCAGUGUUUGGUGGCACCACAGGUGUGAUAACUAUCUACGCUUGUGGUUUUCUGCCAGGUAACCUCCAGUGAUGGAGGUUCGCUGGAGCUCACAAAUGUCUCUCCUCAGCGAGGACAGCUUUUUGAACGUUUGAUCUCAAAUCAGGUAGGACUACCCGCUGAACUUAAGCAUAUCAAUAAGCGGAGGA